UGCAAAACAAACUGCUGCAUUGUCAGCUUUCCUCCUUGUUCCAUUCGUGGAUAAUUUUCACAAAAUUUAACUACUUUGUCGAAUACUCUAUGUUUAAAACAUUUCCCGCUGACUGACAAACCCUGCUGUAUAAAUUCUGAAUUAAGUUUGAGACAAGUGCGACGUAUGAAUUGUAUCUGAAUGUUUAAUGAAGGAUCUUUGUUUUUAUAUAUUUUCUCUAUUUCUCAUAUUAUUUUACCUCAGAACUUCCUUUUCGAGAUGCCUUUUCUUUUUUAUCUUUGGUUUUUAUAUGUAUACUUUUGUAACUUUGCAUCUUGAAUAAAGAAUGUAUGUAUGUAUGUAUGAAUCGAGAGUCGCAUUUCUGCCGCACAUAAUUGACUUUAAUUCGACACGACAGAAAUGCAACGUAUGAACCAGGCCUCACGUAUAUAUCUGACAUCUAUACAUCUAUGUCAUUCGGUCAACUCCUGACUGUAAAGGCUUAUUGCUUAUGCAACUCCAAGGAUUUUGAAGAAAAGAUCACCUCUUAAAAGCAUUUUUUGUAAACACCCAAAACAAGCAUUUUAGCUACACUAACCGUAGCCUGCAAACAGGCUCCCACGAAUAUAAUGCUACAAGCAAAGCAAGCUGUUUAGCGUGAAAUAAAGAAUUUCUCCUGUGAAGUGAGUGGUGCAGUGGAAUCCUUGAGUAAUCCUUGAGUGAGGUAACCUGUAGACCUUGUGUUUGAAUUUGCCUGAAAGAAAGAGUGCCGGUGGUUUCAGUUUUAAACAGGUUCAAAAACACAGAAUGAUUGCGGCUUCCCUGGUCAAGAGAGUGUGGUUUUGGUUACCAAAGUUGAAAAGCUGGGACAUUGAUUACACCCUGGAAUGAAUGUCUCUGCAUUAUCUUUCCUUUCUUGUGCCAGUCUUUCAUUAAUUCAUUCUCAUAUUUCAUAGUAAAGGGAAAUGAAGGAUCGAUUCCUAUUGCCUGGUUAAAACAUGCCAAAAUCUGUAGAGCAACAGUCGAAUAAAAAAUGCUUCAUCUGGCUCCUGUCGAUGGAGAAUUUGCUUCUUUUAAUCGAUGAGAAUGUAGGCACACAAAUUAAAAAUAGUCAACAUCUUGGCUUGAUGAAAGUCAAAGGCCUGUAGUAGGGUUUUGAUUGUUCAGAAUGAUGUUCACAUUGCCAAAACUGUAGCAAAAGGAACUCAGCUUAAGUUGGCAGAAAUUUUGCUGCCGAAAUGAAACUACACAUGUCAAGUUGUUCACGCAUGACCAUGUCUAAAUAGAGAUUUGUACCAUGAUGUCUCAAUAGGAAUUAGGUAGAACCAGUGCACACGGGGUGUUACACGAUACUAUGUUAUGCACAUCAGAGAUGCCUUGCUAUUUUUGAUUCUCCACUUUUCUUUCAGAAAUGAUGAGUGAAACUAGGGGGAAGAAGUUGGGCACCUUAUGUUGCCGUCGCUGUAAGCCUCCAGCGAUAAGAGGUCAUGCUGCUGCAUUUAAGUACUGGUUUAAUGCCUUUGGUCACACUGGUCCAUACAGCCAAAAAGUGGAAGUUGUAAAUGGGAUUCAGACGAUCAUCCCAAAGGGAAAUCCAAUGGAGUGCCCUGGUAACAUAAUGUUUUGUCAUUCUAAUGUCCUAAAUGAUCUUGUAUUUUUCAUCGUACUAGUGUUAUUUUCAAAUAGUUUUCUGAAAACUCUGGAACCACAGUUAGUGGCCAUUUUUCACAGGACAGGACACAUGUACACUUGAGCAGAAUAUUAUAUGUAGCAAAUCACUGUCAGAUGGUAAUGGGCGUAAACAGACCAUUAUUUGUAAGCAUUUUGGUUUUUGCAGAUCAUUUUUAUGGUCUCAUGGCCAUUUCCCAGUAAAAGAGAGAGGAAUAUGCAUUGAAUAAUAAUUAUCUUACUAAUUAUCUUAAUACAUCACUUUAAUAACACUUUGGAUUAUCCUUUUUCACAAGCUACUUCAACAGCGUAGUACUUAUAAAAUAAAUACUUUUAAAAUUGAAUUGUAAGGAGCAUAAAAUUUUUGUUGUGUCUUGAUAUAUAUAGAUGUCAAACAGACCAUAAAGCAACUAGUGAAAAGGUCAGCUAGGCCAACAAAGGCUGAUACACGCCAAGGUCGGAUGCCAUAUGAGCCCAAAAGGGCACCCCCAUUUUCACUACAGAAGCUGUUGCGCAUGCGCACAUACUGCUUAAAAACGAUAGAGGGUAUGCGUGGCAUGUGGCUCUGGAGCAUAACAUUGUUUUCUUUCGCCUUGUUCCUAAGAGGGGAGGAACCACUCAGAUUAAAAGUGAGGCAUUUGAAAUUGCCAGCCAACUUUGCAGCUGAUUCUGGUGAAUUGCCAAAGAGAAUUGACAUAAAACUACCAUGGUCAAAAGCAGACCGAAAAGCAAAAGCUGGAUUAUUUAUUGGGUUUAUACUUCACAAAUUUAGUUAUUGCAACAUGGUGAACAUGGAAUAUAUUAUGGUGAAUACAUGUACAUGUAUGUGUUUUUUUCCUUACUCUCCAAAGGCAAAAUAUGUGAGCCAUAUUAACUAUAUUUUAGAACAUUAAUCAAUCCUGAAUUGUAAUAAAAAAAAGGCGCAGGACCACCAUUUAUUGCCAAGUUGAUUUACAACUAUAACCUAUUCCAAAAAAAUGUACUCCCUAACUUCUUUUCAACUUCCCAUGCUUACACUUUUAAAAUUUAGACUUCUCAAAACAGACUACAAUCUUUUAAUGGUACCAUCUUUAGCAGUCAUUAAUUCAACUGAGAAUAUUUUGCAAUCUUUUCAUUUCAGGGGUGACACUCACUCUUUGGGCUAACCCAUUGAACCCUGAGUUAUGUCCCGUAACCGCUCUUCUUGUGUGGUUGUUGAUAACAGGUUGGUGGAUUAUUUGUUAAGUUUAACCUUAUUCGCAGUAUUAAAAGUGGAACUAGAGUUCCUUUAACUGUGGUAAAUGAGCUCUUUUCUCUCUACGUUCUGAAGAUAUUUUGAGCAGCAUAUCUUGGCAUCUAUUUAAUUAAUAGCUCUUGAUUUUUUUUUGGGUCUCAAGCAGGUAUUAGGAAAGGUUUCAUUUUUUCCAAGGGUAGCUAAAAACAACCAUGCAGUUCAUGGGAACUCAGCUUGUGGUGUCACAACCUACAGGAAAACCUUUCUCCAGAUUUCCAAGACACUUUUUGAAAAGGAUUUUACUACUCAUAGCAUAAGAAGAUCAGCAGCCCAAUGGGCUGCCCGCUGUGGAGCUGAUGAUAGCACCAUCAAAAGGGCUGGCAGACAGUAUGUGAGACAGUAAUAUAUCAAACAUGAUAGACAGUGAAAUCAUCAAAAUCUAUGCUAAUUAGGACUGGGUAUCCAAACCUUCUUCAUAACUGUGAUUUUCUAUGUUUUAACUUGAUCAGGGUAGUACUAGUACAAUGAGACAGACAUCAGCAAAGUACUUUGUUCUUACAUGUGUAUAGUACAGGGGUAUUCCUGUGAUGUGUGAUGUAGCAGCUGAUUUUAGUUUCUGUGAAAUGCAAAUUUUAAGAAAUUUUUCUUUGUGAUCCAUGACCUGAAGGAUUUGUAUGACCUGGAAAAAGGAAAGUAUUUUAUCCACAAUUCUCUACUUUUAAUUAUCCGUUUGUGAACUGUGCCAGAGAACCCCUGUGUGACCGUCUUCUGAUCUUUUCUAAAGAAGAGCAAAAUAAUGUUGCUUGUAGGAUUGGCAAUAACUACAAAAAAAACAAACUUGCAAACUCAAGACAGUUUUGCCACCAACUGGGGGUUGAAGCACUCUUGAUAUCUUUGUGUUCAUUCUCAAUCCAUAAAUUGUUUUAAAAGGGGAAUUAUUCUUGUCACGUUUUUGUUGAAAAUGUGAAAACUUGUUAAUAAUUUAUAAAGGCUCUUUAAAGCACUUUAGAAUGAGAGUUAGCAAUGUAAAAAGUGAACGACGUUACCAUGACUCCAUGUCAUCAUUAUCAAGUUCGAAACACAUGAUGGAAUUGAGUAAAUAUAAAUAGUAAAAAUAGUGUGAUAAUAGUUGGGGAAUUAAAUGGGUGUUAAAGUAUUCAAUUGUAAUGUCAAGAGUUUGGCAUGACCUGAAUCUGACUGUGUGUUAAGUUUUGGUUUUAUGUUCCUAAUGAACAGCAUCUGUUAGAUCAAGCAGUCAAAUUUUGUGCAUCAUUUCUUUAACACUUUAAAUGUUGUAAGUAUUUUGAACUUGAUAAUGAUGACAUGGAGUCAUCGGAAUGUCAUUCACGUUUUACAUUGCUAAUUUUCAUUCUAAAUUAUUUCUUAACUUAUUUUGUAUUUGAUCAGGAAGUCCAAUAGUUUUGAGUUGUACACUCAAGAUGCUAGGGCUGAACUAAUCAAAGAACAGCAUGAUGGGACCCCAGCAUUGGACCACCAACUCUGGAUGUUUAAACCUCUUAGAUAAUAAAUUAGUAUAAUCCAGAGACCAUUCAUUCACAACUAAAUGUUCAUUGAAAGUGUUCAUUAUUUAUUGUUUUGGUUUUGAUUUCUGUAAUUUUACCUGAGUGCAUGUGCCUUGGGGGCACUCUAUCAAAAAUUCAACCUGCCUUGCAAUGCCAAUUGGAUUAUAAGUUUGCCUUACAGUCUGUCACUGGAUUAUACUAAUUAAGGUUAUAUUCCUUUUUGUCCAACACCAUUUGGUUGAACUGCGAAGAAAUAGAUAUCUCAAACUGAAGAACUAGCAAGAAAUUUCAAUGAUAGAUAAAUUUAAUACGUUUUGUAGGCAGGAAAUGAAAAAAGUCAUUUUCAUUUUUAGGACAUAGCUUGUUGACAUUAUUAACUCAAAUGUUUUGAUAUUUCAACCAAUGAAAUCAACUGUUUGGUCUUUGACAGUGAUGUAUCUCUGGAUGACAUUAGUGGCCAUUUGAUUCAGAAAACUUGUUUAGGAGUAAGUGGACAGAGGACAUAUCGGAAAAGUAAUUCAGGCUGUUGGAGUCUCAAAACACUUUUGUGGCAAUAAUGGAAUGUAACAGUCAAAGCUGUUUUAAGUAUGUUUUUGUCAUAAUGUACAGUUCUCAUGUUUUAUUAGUGCCUUAAGAAAUAGCAACAGAAAGAUUCCAUGAUUAAUUACCCAGGACAACUAUUACUAAUUUAAGGUGGCUCAAAACAGUUUCCAGCACUUUGUGAUGGAUCAUUUUUACCAAUCUUUAUCAACUGAUGCUACAAUCACAGUAACACAAAACUGCCCAUUCAUUGGUGAACAUGUUACAAUCAUUUUCAUGUAACAAUAGGUUACCAAGGUUGCCUAAAACCCUAUGUACAGUAUUUUUUAAAACUUUUACAAAAGCUGCAUCUUAUCCUGCUAUUCAAAAUUUGACAAUAUAAAAAUAUUUCACCACGCAGUUUUUGAAUUAUAUGCCCUUAAAGCUAAAAUUAAGGUUGCUUUUAGCAGGUUAUACAUUUGCAAUAGUAAUCUGUUGUGUCACGAAAAUAAUUACGUGUUUACCGAUGAUGAGGCAGUUUUUUGUUACCACGAUUGUAGCAUCAAUUGAUAAAAAACGGUUAUAAUGACCCAUCAAAAUUUAAGUCUUCGAAAGUGCUGGAAACUGUUUUGAGCCACCUUUAACUCUAAUUUCUUCUACAAAUGAUAUGUAUUCCUGUAGAGAAACCUAAAUCACAUUAAUUGAAAAACUUUUAAUUAUUGAGGUUGGAUGCUUUUGAAUUAAAUAAAAUCCUGAUAACUUUUAUCCAACAUAACAUUUUCUUACAAAUACUUUACCACUAGGCAGUUGAGAUCUUGAUGAAAAUUAAUAAGAAGCUAUAAUUGUAUAAUAUAUGAGUAUAAUUUAUGACCAUCACAUGUCAAUGUUUUGAGGGAUCAUACAAGAAAUUUAUUCUAUUUUAGACAAAAUUCAAGUGGUGUAUUUUUUUUUAACAAUCAAAUGUACAUAAUUCAGUGUAAAGUUAUAAAAUGAAUACCAAGAUCAGUAUAUCGAUAUUAUAGGGUUAAUGCUGUUGUUCCAGCACAUAUGCAAUAAAGUUUCAAUCUCUGGUUUUACAUCUGAACAUUUGCCGUGUUUUGCUAUUACAUUUAUUUCCUAAUACAGUCAAAGCUCUUCUUGCAGCCUUUCUUGUAAGUGGCCUUCUCUAGCAUUUGAAAAUGAUUGCUAAUCCCCUAAGCAGCCAACUUGUAAUUUGGGAAUCCCUUUUGUAUUCAAAAUUUAAAUUUUCUUGUAAACAGCAACGUUAAAAUUAGAGCGGUUUUCAAUU